GGCCCAGCUCUUGCUGAAGAUAUCGCACCGGUAGCCAACGGCGGUUGCCCACAAACCCCGACAAAGACGUCGC
ncrna:Pseudomonas putida W619 narK RNA